GCCAGACUCCUACGGGAGGCAGCAGUGGGGAAUAUUGCACAAUGGGGGAAACCCUGAUGCAGCGACGCCGCGUGAGUGAAGAAGUAUUUCGGUAUGUAAAGCUCUAUCAGCAGGGAAGAAAAUGACGGUACCUGAUUAAGAAGCCCCGGCUAACUACGUGCCAGCAGCCGCGGUAAUACGUAGGGGGCAAGCGUUAUCCGGAUUUACUGGGUGUAAAGGGAGCGUAGACGGUGAUGCAAGUCAGAAGUGAAAGCCCGGGGCUCAACUCCGGGACUGCUUUUGAAACUGUGUGACUGGAGUGCAGGAGAGGUAAGCGGAAUUCCUGGUGUAGCGGUGAAAUGCGUAGAUAUUAGGAAGAACACCAGUGGCGAAGGCGGCUUACUGGACAGUAACUGACGUUGAGGCUCGAAAGCGUGGGGAGCAAACAGGAUUAGAUACCCGAGUA
rnacentral:rRNA from 1 species